AUAUUUAAUUGCUCUUUACAUUAAUAUUGAAAAAUACCACAUUUCUAAGAGCAAGGCAAGUAGAAGACAAAGGAGUAAUAAUAAGUGACACAUGAACCAAAGGUUUCGUUCAUCAACUCCCAAUGUUAUUUUUUUCAUGGGUUAUAAACUAAUAAAAUGAAAGUGGGGUUAAAAUGCAAGUCCCUGUACUUUUACAAUUCUGGAUUGACUCUGAAUAAUUUCUUGGUAUGUCUUAAGGUAUUUUUCUCAAGAGCUACUUUCUUUUGAUUUCCAAAGAGACAAGCUAAACAACAGCUUCAUGAUCCU